rnacentral:rRNA from 1 species
CCUACGGGCGGCAGCAGUGGGGAAUAUUGCACAAUGGGGGAAACCCUGAUGCAGCGACGCCGCGUGAGUGAAGAAGUAUUUCGGUAUGUAAAGCUCUAUCAGCAGGGAAGAAGAAAGACGGUACCUGACUACGAAGCCCCGGCUAACUACGUGCCAGCGGCCGCGGUAAUACGUAGGGGGCAAGCGUUAUCCGGAUUUACUGGGUGUAAAGGGAGCGUAGACGGCUGGUCAAGUCUGAAGUGAAAGGCCAGGGCUCAACCCUGGGACUGCUUUUGAAACUGUGGAGCUAGAGUGCUGGAGAGGUAAGUGGAAUUCCUAGUGUAGCGGUGAAAUGCGUAGAUAUUAGGAGGAACACCAGUGGCGAAGGCGGCUUACUGGACAGUAACUGACGUUGAGGCUCGAAAGCGUGGGGAGCAAACAGGAUUAGAUACCCGGGUAGUC